UAUGUGAUCGUCUCUCGCAUAUCAAUAAGCGGAGGAAAAGAAACUAACAAGGAUUCCCCUAGUAACGGCGAGUGAAGCGGGAAGAGCUCAAAUUUGAAAUCUUAAAGGGUUUCCCUUUACGAAUUGUAGUUUAAAGAAGUGUUCUCUGUUGAGGUUUUGGUAAAAGUUCUUUGGAAUAGGACAUCAUAGAGGGUGAGAAUCCCGUAUUUGACCUUUACUUUCAACUUUGUGAUACACUUUCAAAGAGUCGGAUUGUUUGGGAAUGCAGUCCAAAAUGGGUGGUAAAUUUCAUCUAAAGCUAAAUAUUGGCGAGAGACCGAUAGCGAACAAGUACCGUGAGGGAAAGAUGAAAAGAACUUUGAAAAGAGAGUUAAACAGUACGUGAAAUUGUCAAAAGGGAAGCGUUUGACACCAGUGUUGUUUUCCUGAAAAUCAAUUAAAGAACUGUUUAUGCUAAGCUGUUUAGACUUUAUCAGCUAAUCUGUUUAGUUUUGAGCUUUUCUUUAAUGCACUUUUCAGUUAACAAGUCAACAUCAAUUUCUUUUGCUGUAAAAAAGCUUGAGGAAGGUGGCUUGAGAUUCGUCUUAAGUGUUUAUAGCCUCUUGCCUAUGCAGUCGGAGAGAUUGAGGUCUGCAGCGUAGAUCCUUCGGGGCUAAAUGCAUUUGUGCUAAGUUAUAGCAUUUUAUAGACAACUUGUUGACUAUGAUUUGUCUUGUAGCUUACUCGCUUAUGUUAUUUUACCUACGCUUAGGAUGUUGAUCUACAGAGCGAGAGU
rnacentral:rRNA from 1 species